rnacentral:rRNA from 1 species
AUACGGAGGGUGCAAGCGUUACUCGGAAUCACUGGGCGUAAAGCGCGCGCAGGCGGCUUGAUAAGUUGGAUGUGAAAGCCUACGACUCAACCGUAGAACUGCAUCCAAAACUGUCAAGCUAGAGUCUGGGAGGGGAAGAUGGAAUUAGUUGUGUAGGGGUAAAAUCCGUAGAGAUAACUAGGAAUACCAAAAGCGAAGGCGAUCUUCUGGAACAGUACUGACGCUGAGGCGCGAAAGCGUGGGGAGCAAACAGGAUUAGAAACCCCAGUAGUCC